rnacentral:rRNA from 1 species
CAGCAGCCGCGGGAAUACGUAGGUGGCAAGCGUUGUCCGGAAUUAUUGGGCGUAAAGGGCUCGCAGGCGGUUUCUUAAGUCUGAUGUGAAAGCCCCCGGCUCAACCGGGGAGGGUCAUUGGAAACUGGGAAACUUGAGUGCAGAAGAGGAGAGUGGAAUUCCACGUGUAGCGGUGAAAUGCGUAGAGAUGUGGAGGAACACCAGUGGCGAAGGCGACUCUCUGGUCUGUAACUGACGCUGAGGAGCGAAAGCGUGGGGAGCGAACAGGAUUAGAUACCCCGGUAGUCCUGUCUCUUAUACA